rnacentral:rRNA from 1 species
CCUACGGGUGGCAGCAGUGGGGGAUAUUGCACAAUGGGGGGAACCCUGAUGCAGCGACGCCGCGUGGGUGAAGAAGCGCCUCGGCGCGUAAAGCCCUGUCAGCAGGGAAGAAAAUGACGGUACCUGGGGAGGAAGCUCCGGCUAACUACGUGCCAGCAGCCGCGGUAAUACGUAGGGAGCGAGCGUUGUCCGGAAUUACUGGGUGUAAAGGGAGCGUAGGCGGGGAUGCAAGUUGGGUGUCAAAACUACCGGCUCAACUGGUAGUCGCACUCAAAACUGGAGCUCUUGAGUGAAGUAGAGGCAGGCGGAAUUCCUAGUGUAGCGGUGAAAUGCGUAGAUAUCAGGAGGAACACCAGUGGCGAAGGCGGCCUGCUGGGCUUUUACUGACGCUGAGGCUCGAAAGUGUGGGGAGCAAACAGGAUUAGAUACCCCUGUAGUC